rnacentral:rRNA from 1 species
UACGUAGGGUGCAGGCGUUAAUCGGAAUUACUGGGCGUAAAGCGUGCGCAGGCGGUUCUCCAAGUCCGUUGUGAAAGCCCCGGGCUCAACCUGGGAAUGGCAGUGGAAACUAGGGGACUGGAAUCUGGCAGAGGGGGGUGGAAUGCCGCGUGUAGCAGUGAAAUGCGUAGAGAUGCGGCGGAACACCGAUGGCGAAGGCAGCCCCCUGGGCUGAGAUUGACGCUCAGGCACGAAAGCGUGGGGAGCAAACAGG